UACGAAGGGGGCUAGCGUUGUUCGGAAUUACUGGGCGGAAAGCGUGUGUAGGUGGUUAUCCAAGUUGGAUGUGAAAGCCUUGAGCUUAACUCAAGAAAUGCAUUCAGGACUGGGUGACUAGAGGACCGGAGAGGAUAGUGGAAUUCCCAGUGUAGUGGCGAAAUACGUAGAGCUUGGGAAGAACACCAGUGGCGAAGGCGGCUAUCUGGACGGUUUCUGACACUAAGACACGAAAGCGUGGGGAGCAAACAGG
rnacentral:rRNA from 1 species